rnacentral:tRNA from 1 species
GGGCUCGUAGUUCUAACCGGAUAGAACGCUUGGCUCGCAUCCAAGAGGCUUGGGGUUCGAGUCCCCACGAGUCCG